UUUUUUUUUUUUCGGUUUGGUGAACUCGCGGUCUAGUGAUUCCUUGGUUGUGCUUGGCGAUCGAGUGACCUUGAGAGGCGAGAGAUGGUGAAGCGGUUUGAAAGAGGUCGAGUUUGGUUGCUUAAUCGAGUGAACCGGCGAUGACGAGCUUUCGUGGGGAUGAGAGCAGCGGCGAUGGAAACGAUGGAGAGGCGUUGAGAAGCGGCGAGAUCGAGUGACUACGCAAGGUCGAGUAUGUUGAGAGAUGGCGGUGAGAGCGAUGAAGCUGUGAAGGAGCAGCGGUCGAGUGAACUUGAGCUCGCGGAAGAGAAGAAACGGUGGUGUUGUCGAGUGAUGGCUGGACUUGAGAGAUGAGAGAACGAUGGCACCUUGGUCGAGUGAUGUCGUAGAUGGAGAGAUGAUGAGCUUAAAGGUGAUAAGUGUUCAACAAUGAAGAGACCGAGUGAUGGUGGAGGUCGGGUGAUGGAGGGACAAGGCGAUAGGGUCGAGUGAUGAAACGAUGAAGAAGAUGGUGAUGUGAAGCGGUCGAGUGGUAGUGGAGAGGUGAUGAGAGCUUCGGCCGAGUGAUGGUUGUGGGAUUGGCGAGGAGUGGUCGAGUGGUUUUGAGCGAGAAGUAUGGGGACGGAGAACGAGUGUUUGUUGAGCUUGAGAGUGAGAGUUGAUGAGUGAAGUGAGAGUCGAGUGGUGUUGGGAUGAAAAUAAAAGGGAGAAGUCGAGUGUUUUUUUUUUUAAGGAAGGAGAAGGCGGAGAGGUCGAGUGGAUGGGAGUUUGUUUUGUCGGUGGUGAUGAAUGAGAGUGAUGGGUCGAGUUUAUGGGGUUGUGGAGGAGAAAACGAGGCGAUGAGGUCGAGUUAAGAGGGAUGGAGGUCGAGUGAUGGCGUUGACGUCGAGUGGAGGAGAAGAGAUGAGGAGAGAUUUCCUGUCCUUUGGUCUGUUGCAUGGAGGACAUGGGCGUCAGCGGCGGGUCCCAGAAUGUCUUCUUGUCUCUUCUCUGUAUUCUCCGUUCACUAGAAAAACUCCAGGAAAUCCCGCAAUCCUCUAUAAACUUGAAAGAUUCCCUGGAAGACUUUGUAGCUUAUGUUGGUCGAGUAAAAUGAUGAUUAAA
rnacentral:sRNA from 1 species